UACAGAGGGUGCGAGCGUUGUUCGGAGUUACUGGGCGUAAAGAGUGCGUAGGCGGUUUUCUAAGUUUGGUGUGAAAUCUCCCGCUUAACUGGGAGGGUGCGCCGAAGACUGGAAGGCUUGAGUAUGGGAGAGGUAAGCGGAAUUCCUGGUGUAGCGGUGAAAUGCGUAGAUAUCAGGAGGAACACUGCGGUGUAGACGCUUCUGGACCUAACUG
rnacentral:rRNA from 1 species